GAUGAACGCUGGCGGCGUGCCUAAUACAUGCAAGUCGAGCGGUAAGGUUCUGCACUUAGUAUUUGACCAGGUAAGUCUAUGCAAAUAGAUACUGCCUGCAGCGGUAACCUCUAGGCUAGAGGUUCCGGUCGAAUGUUGAGUGUAGAAUACACGAGCGGCGGACGGCUGAGUAACACGUAGGAACGUACCCCAAAGUGAGGGAUAACUGCUCGAAAGAGUAGCUAANACCGCAUGUGCUCUAAGGAGUAAAGCUUCGGCGCUUUGGGAACGGCCUGCGCAUGAUUAGCUUGUUGGUGAGUAAAGCUCACCAAGGCGACGAUCAUUAGCUGGUCUGAGAGGAUGAUCAGCCAGACUGGGAC
rnacentral:rRNA from 1 species